rnacentral:lncRNA from 1 species
AUGGAAUGGAAUGUGGGUGCUAAACGAAGGGUUGAAUUUGUUGAUGUAGGCGUGAAGGAAGAAAGUUCGAAUUCUAAGAAAGCGGAAGGAUCCCAAGACCGAGGUAAAUCCUCGAUUUAGAUGUAUGGACGGCUUGGAAUGUGCACACUUGGAUUACGCCCGCCUCACGCUUCCGUUAUUAAGUCUAUUAAAAUAGGUUAAGUUUUGGUCAUAUGUAUCUAGGUCUAUGUAGUAUGUCGAUAACUCGUUGUUGGGUAAAAACUUAGUAGUCGAAGUCAUGUCGUGUCCAAUAUAGACUUUGUUGUUUUGGGUUUUUGUCAAGGAUGUUAAGCGUUGAAGUUUGGUAUGUAUAACAGGGUGUUAAUGGUUUUAAACGAAUAGGUCAUGCCGAAUUUUCCUA